rnacentral:rRNA from 1 species
GGUACCUUUUGUAGAAUGGUCCGGCGAGUGAAUGUAACUGGCGAGGUUAAGUUCUUAAGGAACGGAGCCGAAGCGAAAGCAAGUCUGAAUAGGGCGUCUUAGUCAGUUGUAUUCGACCCGAAACCGGGUGACCUAUCCAUGUCCAGGAUGAAGUUAAGGUAAAACUUGAUGGAGGUCCGAACCCACGGUCGUUGAAAUGCCCGGGGAUGAGAUGUGGAUAGCGGAGAAAUUCCAAUCGAACCCGGAUAUAGCUGGUUCUCUCCGAAAUAGCUUUAGGGCUAGCCUCGACUGAACAUUACCGGAGGUAGAGCACUGAAUGGGCUAGGGGCCGAGAGGUUACUGAACCCUAUCAAACUUCAAAUGCCGGAAAAUGAUAGUCGGGAGUCAGACUGCGUGAGAUAAGUUUCGUAGUCGAAAGGGAAACAGCCCAGACCCACAGCUAAGGUCCCAAAGUACGGUUAAGUGGAAAAGGAUGUGGAGUUGCACAGACAACCAGGAUGUUGGCUUAGAAGCAGCCACUCAUUAAAAGAGUGCGUAAUAGCUCACUGGUCGAGUGACUCUGCGCCGAAAAUUUAACGGGGCUAAAUCGUACACCGAAGCUUGGGAUGUAUCUAUGAUACAUGGUAGGAGAGCGUUGAAUGCGGGGUGAAGUCAGAGCGAAAGCGCUGGUGGACUGCAUUGAAGUGAGAAUGCCGGAAUGAGUAGCGAGAUUUAUGUGAGAAUCAUAAAGGCCGAAAGACUAAGGUUUCAGAAGGAAGGUUCGUCCGCUUCUGGUUAGCCGGGAGCUAAGGUGAGGCCGAAAGGCGUAGCCGAUGCACAUACGGUGGAGAUUCCGUAGCCGUCGAAAUAUUUAAGCAAAGGGACACUUAUGAAGGACAUGACCCGGGCGAUGGUAGCCCCGGGCGUAAGGGACUGAAAACAAGUAAGGAAGCAUGUUUGGAUUAAGGCGAGAAAAGCUUUGUGUAUAUAUGAGACGUCCGUACCGCAAACCGACACAGGUAGUCAGGAAGAGGAUUCUAAGGCCAACGGGAGAAGGGUAGUUAAGGAACUCGGCAAAUUGACCCCGUAACUUCGGGAUAAGGGGCGGUGCGUAAGCACCCGCAGUGAAUAGGUCCAGGCGACUGUUUAUCAAAAACACAGCUCUCUGCUAAAUCGAAAGAUGACGUAUAGGGGGUGACACCUGCCCGGUGCUGGAAGGUUAAGAGGAGGAGUGCAAGCUCCGAAUUGAAGCCCCAGUAAACGGCGGCCGUAACUAUAACGGUCCUAAGGUAGCGAAAUUCCUUGUCGGGUAAGUUCCGACCCGCACGAAUGGUGUAACGAUCUGGACGCUGUCUCAACUGCCCACCCGGCGAAAUUGUAGUACCGGUGAAGAUGCCGGUUACCCGCGGCAAGACGGAAAGACCCCAUGGAGCUUUACUGUAACUUGAUAUUGGGUCUUGGUAUUCUAUGUACAGGAUAGGCGGGAGACUAUGAAACAUACACGCCAGUGUAUGCGGAGUCACCCUUGGGAUACCGCUCUUAGAGUACUGAGAUUCUAACCUGCGGCCGUGAAUCCGGUCGGGGGACAUUGUCAGGUGGGCAGUUUGACUGGGGCGGUCGCCUCCUAAAAGGUAACGGAGGCGCUCAAAGGUUAGCUCAGCACGGUCGGAAACCGUGCCUCUGAGUGCAAACGCAAAAGCUAGCCUAACUGCGAGGCUGACGGGCCGAGCAGUAACGAAAGUUGGAGUUAGUGAUCCGGCGGUAU